AUUUUUUUUUCAUUUUGAUGAUAACAUAAUGAUACAGGUAAUGAUUAAUAUUAUGAUAAAUUGUCAAACAGUUUUUAUUGUCAUUUACCACACCAGAAAGUUCCAGUAAAACUUGAACUUGAGGACCUUCCUCCACAUUCUCGAGAAAAACUUACUCGGCGCAUCUGCAGUUUUUCUGUUACAAUUUGUUGGAAAGUCAUACGAAACACGUUGCAUUCUUUUGUCAAACGAUAUUUUGUUGAACAUAAUGGAAGGAAAAAUUCUCCCGCUCCCCUAAAAAAAGGUUUUCUUUUUGGAUUUAUUACAAAAUCGUCAAAUGCGAAAAAAAAUAUUUGACAAAAACAUUGAUGGCAUCAUGACUAAAGGAGAGUCACAAAACUCGGCGAUAUCAAUCUUACUGCUCUAAAGUUCUGGAACUUUUUGAACAAGCCACGUAUAUUAUUUUCUGUAUAGAUUGUAAAUAUGCUUUUAUAAUGAAAAAAAAAAAAAGUUUUAUUUAGAACUAUUUUGUUCAAAUGUCAUAUAAUAUCGACUGCCCCCAACGAAAAUGAUAGUAUUUCCAGUUAUUACUGGCUAUAUAGUAAUGGAAUGUUUUCGCUAUCGUCCACGAAAACGGUCAUGUCUCAAAACAUCCAUCAGAGAUUAGAUAUUUAAUAAUUGCGUAAUUUACUGUAACCUUGAUUUCCAUCGAAAAC